rnacentral:rRNA from 1 species
UUGGAGGGCAAGUCUGGUGCCAGCAGCCGCGGUAAUUCCAGCUCCAAUAGCGUAUAUUAAAGUUGUUGCAGUUAAAAAGCUCGUAGUUGAAUUUCGGGAUCAAUACGUCGGUCGUGCCUCUGGUAUGAACUGGUGUUAUUGAUUCCUCCUCUCUGAUAAGCCAUGAUGUCAUUAAUUUGGUGUUGUGGGGAGUCAGGACUGUUACUUUGAAAAAAUUAGAGUGUUUAAAGCAGGCCUACGCUUGAAUACAUUAGCAUGGAAUAAUGAAAUAGGACGUUCGAACCUAUUUUGUUGGUUUCUAGGAUCAACGUAAUGAUUAAUAGGGAUAGUUGGGGGCAUUAGUAUUCAAUUGUCAGAGGUGAAAUUCUUGGAUUUAUUGAAGACUAACUACUGCGAAAGCAUUUGCCAAGGAUGUUUUCAUUAAUCAAGAACGAAAGUUAGGGGAUCGAAGACGAUCAGAUACCGUCGUAGUCUUAACCAUAAACUAUGCCGACUAGGGAUCGGAUGAUGUUAAUUUUUUAAUGACUCAUUCGGCGCCUUACGGGAAAC